rnacentral:tRNA from 1 species
GCGGGCAUGGUGAAAUUGGUAGACACGCAAGCUUGAGGGGCUUGUCCUGACUUUCGGGGUGGAGGUUCAAAUCCUCUUGCCCGCACCA